rnacentral:rRNA from 1 species
UACAGAGGUCCCAAGCGUUUGUUCGGAUUCAUUGGGCGUAAAGGGUGCGUAGGCGGCGCGGUAAGUCGGGUGUGAAAUCUCGGAGCUUAACUCCGAAACUGCAUUCGAUACUGCCGUGCUUGAGGACUGGAGAGGAGACUGGAAUUUACGGUGUAGCGGUGAAAUGCGUAGAUAUCGUAAGGAAGACCAGUGGCGAAGGCGGGGUCUCUGGACAGUUCCUGACGCUGAGGCACGAAGGCCAGGGGAGCAAACGGGG